CAAAGCUCAGAAAACAGUGGUGAAGAUGAAGCUUCAGUCCAGCGCCGACAUGGAGGAUCCGGUCGCCAGCGCCAACCUGCUGAAGCAGCUGCAUGCAGCACUUGCUAAACGGGGACUGAGGGACUUCCAGCUGACCUGGAAGGAACUGCCGGUGAAGCAGAACGAGGAGAGUGACAGUAAAGAUAAAUGCUGACCCACUGAGCACAAGUCAAGCAAGAAAGCUGCACCACAUCUUACUGAAUGCUGUUAGGAAACUACUCUUUGAUUCUAUUUUAGGCUAAAGACUGAAGUCAGAGAAGCUCAGCAUAGAAAUGUUUUACUUAACGAGUUUUGUGUGCACAAAGUUUGCAGCUAUUUAAAUGUUUUAAUUAGUUUCUACAUGAUGGCAGUAGCUCUGUGACUUAAGGGGUUUUAAGUCAGGUGAUUUAAAUCAUGUAGACAUUAUAUUGUCCUUGUGUUUCCGUUAUUACUGAGUGCUAUUUUCAU